rnacentral:rRNA from 1 species
CCUACGGGAGGCAGCAGUAAGGAAUAUUGGUCAAUGGACGGAAGUCUGAACCAGCCAUGCCGCGUGAAGGAUGACUGCCCUCUGGGUUGUAAACUUCUUUUAUCUGGGACGAAAAAAGGGCUUUUUAGCUCACUUGACGGUACCAGAGGAAUAAGCACCGGCUAACUCCGUGCCAGCAGCCGCGGUAAUACGGAGGGUGCAAGCGUUAUCCGGAUUUACUGGGUUUAAAGGGUGCGUAGGUGGGCAGGAAAGUCAGUGGUGAAAUCUCCGGGCUUAACCCGGAAACUGCCAUUGAUACUAUUUGUCUUGAAUACUUUGGAGGUAAGCGGAAUAUGUCAUGUAGCGGUGAAAUGCUUAGAUAUGACAUAGAACACCAAUUGCGCAGGCAGCUUACUACACAGUAAUUGACACUGAGGCACGAAAGCGUGGGGAUCAAACAGGAUUAGAUACCCUGGUAGUCCACGCCCUAAACGAUGGAUACUCGACAUUAGCGAUAUACAGUUAGUGUCUGAGCGAAAGCAUUAAGUAUCCACCUGGGAAGUACGAUCGCAAGAUUGAAACUCAAAGGAAUUGACGGCUGAGAGNGCGAGACGACGACGAGGGAGGAGG